GGCUGCCUUUUCAUCAGAUCAGGUGACCCCUCAGAAAUCAAAGACUGAUGUGGAUGAUCAAGCUACAGCAAGGAACCAAGAUCUUGGUAACCUCAUCAAAGUAAAUCCAAGUUCUUUCACAAGUGAUAAGGAAGGAAAAGACCUUGAGGAUUUUACUGGAAUAAAUACUGCUGGUCAGAAAAAUAAGAG